rnacentral:rRNA from 1 species
GACGUAGGAGGCGAGCGUUGUCCGGAUUCAUUGGGCGUAAAGAGCUCGUAGGCGGUGUGUCGCGUCGGCCGUGAAAACCUGCAGCUUAACUGUGGGCUUGCGGUCGAUACGGGCAUCACUGGAGUUCGGCAGGGGAGACUGGAAUUCCUGGUGUAGCGGUGAAAUGCGCAGAUAUCAGGAGGAACACCGGUGGCGAAGGCGGUUCUCUGGGCAUUACCUGACGCUGAGGAGCGAAAGUGUGGGGAGCGAACAGG